rnacentral:rRNA from 1 species
AAAUUGAAGAGUUUGAUCAUGGCUCAGAUUGAACGCUGGCGGCAGGCCUAACACAUGCAAGUCGAGCGGAAACGAGUUAUCUGAACCUUCGGGGGACGAUAACGGCGUCGAGCGGCGGACGGGUGAGUAAUGCCUAGGAAAUUGCCCUGAUGUGGGGGAUAACCAUUGGAAACGAUGGCUAAUACCGCAUGAUGCCUACGGGCCAAAGAGGGGGACCUUCGGGCCUCUCGCGUCAGGAUAUGCCUAGGUGGGAUUAGCUAGUUGGUGAGGUAAGGGCUCACCAAGGCGACGAUCCCUAGCUGGUCUGAGAGGAUGAUCAGCCACACUGGAACUGAGACACGGUCCAGACUCCUACGGGAGGCAGCAGUGGGGAAUAUUGCACAAUGGGCGCAAGCCUGAUGCAGCCAUGCCGCGUGUGUGAAGAAGGCCUUCGGGUUGUAAAGCACUUUCAGUCGUGAGGAAGGCGGCGUCGUUAAUAGCGGCAUUAUUUGACGUUAGCGACAGAAGAAGCACCGGCUAACUCCGUGCCAGCAGCCGCGGUAAUACGGAGGGUGCGAGCGUUAAUCGGAAUUACUGGGCGUAAAGCGCAUGCAGGUGGUUUGUUAAGUCAGAUGUGAAAGCCCGGGGCUCAACCUCGGAAUUGCAUUUGAAACUGGCAGACUAGAGUACUGUAGAGGGGGGUAGAAUUUCAGGUGUAGCGGUGAAAUGCGUAGAGAUCUGAAGGAAUACCGGUGGCGAAGGCGGCCCCCCUGGACAGAUACUGACACUCAGAUGCGAAAGCGUGGGGAGCAAACAGGAUUAGAUACCCUGGUAGUCCACGCCGUAAACGAUGUCUACUUGGAGGUUGUGGCCUUGAGCCGUGGCUUUCGGAGCUAACGCGUUAAGUAGACCGCCUGGGGAGUACGGUCGCAAGAUUAAAACUCAAAUGAAUUGACGGGGGGCCCGCACAAGCGGUGGAGCAUGUGGUUUAAUUCGAUGCAACGCGAAGAACCUUACCUACUCUUGACAUCCAGAGAACUUUCCAGAGAUGGAUUGGUGCCUUCGGGAACUCUGAGACAGGUGCUGCAUGGCUGUCGUCAGCUCGUGUUGUGAAAUGUUGGGUUAAGUCCCGCAACGAGCGCAACCCUUAUCCUUGUUUGCCAGCGAGUAAUGUCGGGAACUCCAGGGAGACUGCCGGUGAUAAACCGGAGGAAGGUGGGGGACGACGUCAAGUCAUCAUGGCCCUUACGAGUAGGGCUACACACGUGCUACAAUGGCGCAUACAGAGGGCAGCCAACUUGCGAAAGUGAGCGAAUCCCAAAAAGUGCGUCGUAGUCCGGAUUGGAGUCUGCAACUCGACUCCAUGAAGUCGGAAUCGCUAGUAAUCGUGGAUCAGAAUGCCACGGUGAAUACGUUCCCGGGCCUUGUACACACCGCCCGUCACACCAUGGGAGUGGGCUGCAAAAGAAGUAGGUAGUUUAACCUUCGGGGGGACGCUUACCACUUUGUGGUUCAUGACUGGGGUGAAGUCGUAACAAGGUAGCGCUAGGGGAACCUGGCGCUGGAUCACCUCCUUAAACGAUGAU